GAUGAACGCUGGCGGCGUGCCUAAUACAUGCAAGUCGAGCGAACAGAUGAGGAGCUUGCUCCUCUGACGUUAGCGGCGGACGGGUGAGUAACACGUGGAUAACCUACCUAUAAGACUGGGAUAACUUCGGGAAACCGGAGCUAAUACCGGAUAAUAUAUUGAACCGCAUGGUUCAAUAGUGAAAGACGGUUUUGCUGUCACUUAUAGAUGGUUCCGCGCCGCAUUAGCUAGUUGGUAAGGUAACGGCUUACCAAGGCAACGAUGCGUAGCCGACCUGAGAGGGUGAUCGGCCACACUGGAACUGAGACACGGUCCAGACUCCUACGGGAGGCAGCAGUUGGGAAUCUUCCGCAAUGGGCGAAAGCCUGACGGAGCAACGCCGCGUGAGUGAUGAAGGUCUUCGGAUCGUAAAACUCUGUUAUUAGGGAAGAACAAAUGUGUAAGUAACUAUGCACGUCUUGACGGUACCUAAUCAGAAAGCCACGGCUAACUACGUG
rnacentral:rRNA from 1 species